rnacentral:sRNA from 1 species
GGAUGUGAAGGCCAUCUGGAUGCAAUACCUGUCACCCCAUUGACCACCAUGGCUGAUUUCACAAAUCUGCCUGUCCAAAUGGAUUCCCAUUUCCUUGCUCACCACUCCAUGUGAAUUCCUCCCAAAGCUGCACACUCAGGAGGCAGAAUCAAGAUGGCAGAGUAAAGACAGGAACUCACCUAAACUCUCCCCCAAGCCCCUCCAAAUACCUUU